GACGUAGGGCGCGAGCGUUGUCCGGAUUUAUUGGGCGUAAAGAGCUCGUAGGCGGCUUGUUACGUCGACUGUGAAAACCCGCGGCUCAACUGCGGGCCUGCAGUCGAUACGGGCAGGCUAGAGUUCGGUAGGGGAGCGUGGAAUUCCUGGUGUAGCGGUGAAAUGCGCAGAUAUCAGGAGGAACACCGGUGGCGAAGGCGGGUCUCUGGGCCGAUACUGACGCUGAGGAGCGAAAGCGUGGGGAGCGAACAGG
rnacentral:rRNA from 1 species